AACGCACAUUGCGCCCGCCGGCAUUCCGGCGGGCAUGCCUGUUCGAGCGUCAUUUCAACCCUCAAGCCCUCUUCAAUGCUAGGCUUGGUGUUGGGGGAUCGCCCACAUGCCUUGCGCCCAGCGCGCAGGUUAGGGGCGACCCCUGAAAACUAGUGGCGGUUCCGCCCGCGGCAAGCCCUUGCGUAGUAGCACAAACCUCGCAUGUGGAGCCCGGCGGCAGCCCUGCCGUUAAACACCCCCCACAAACUCUGUUUUGUGUUCCAUGAGUUGACCUCGGAUCAGGUAGGAAUACCCGCUGAACUUAA
rnacentral:misc_RNA from 1 species